rnacentral:rRNA from 1 species
GUCUACUGCCAUGCCACCAUGAGUACACCCGAUCUCAUCUGAUCUUGGAAGCUAAGCAGGAUUGGGCCUGGUUAGUACUUGGAUGGGAGACCACCUAGUAAUACUGGGUGCUGUAGGCC